rnacentral:lncRNA from 1 species
GUGUCAUCCUAUUACAGUGUCAUCCCAUCAUUCCAGUGUCAUUCCAAGCAGCAGUAUUGUUCCAUAGCCUACUUCAGUAGCCUAUGUGUUGCUUGAUUUGACCCAGUUUCCCCACAGUUCGCUAAAAGGACAUGUGCAACAAAUGCAGUGAAAAUGGAAAAAACUACAGGUUUACUGCCAAAAUGAGAAGUAUACUAGACCCUACUACACAACAGUAGCCUCUCCACUUGAUGUUAACAAACUGAACCACAACAGCUGUCUUCAGAUAAGCCAGAGUGGAACACAGACAUGGGUCAGAGAGACACAAGCCAAAGCCAUGGGUCUGGCCAGUCACAACCAGGUAAUCAACUGACCAGUCAUAUAACAGAUCACCAUAGGCCCAGGCGUCAGGAAAGUAACACAACACAGAGCCAUCCAUCCCUCUCUCUCUCUCUCUCUCUCUCUCUCUCUCAGUCCUCGCUCUGUGAAUCUGUCAUUCUCUCUCACCCUCUCUCUCUCUCAGUCCUCGCUCUGUAAAUCUGUCAUUCUCUCUCACCCUCUCUCUCUCUCUCAGUCCUCGCUCUGUAAAUCUGUCAUUCUCUCUCACCCUCUCUCUCUCUCUCAGUCCUCGCUCUGUAAAUCUGUCAUUCUCUCUCACCCUCUCUCUCUCUCUCUGUCCUCGCUCUGUAAAUCUGUCAUUCUCUCUCACCCUCUCUCUCUCUCUCAGUCCUCGCUCUGUAAAUCUGUCAUUCUCUCUCACCCUCUCUCUCUCUCUCUCUCUCUCUCAGUCCUCGCUCUGUAAAUCUGUCAUUCCCUCUCACCCUCUGUCUCUCUCUGAGUUCAGUUUAGAGGCUGGCAUUAACUGCUCAGUAUAAAGUGCAGGCCAGGGAAACAGAUUAAUGGCUGAACCUGUUUACAGACAAACCUCUAACAGGCCCUAUCAUCCCUGAAGGAACAAUAGGGGGAAUUGUUUCCAUUUACUGUGAUUGUUCAAUUACAGUUAAUCUGUUGGAAUAACCAUGGCUAUUUUCCAAUUGAAUUAAUCUGGAUUGGAUGUUUGUUUUGCUAAAACAAAGAGCUCAGAGGGCGAGACCCAUCUGGAGAGAAACAAAUCUCAUUAAUACGGUACAAUGUCCAGUAUCACAUCAGCAAGACCAUGGGCCCAGGGUCAAAAGUAGUGCACUAUAUAGGGAAUAGGGUGCCAGCUCACAACAUGGACGCAUUAUAAGGUGGGAGCACAAAUGGUUUUAACCAGGCUUUUUGGAUAGGUAGGGGAUACACUGUAAUAAUAGCGUGUGAAAAAUACUGACCCAAUAAAAAUGUUGUGAGAGAGUGACAAAAGGGGGGAGGGGGGUGUAAGCGGAGAGAGGAAAGUAACAGAGAGAUAUAGAGAGAGAAAGACUGAAAGAGGGGGGCAGGAGGGAGGAAGGCAGAAGGGCAGGGUGAAGAAGUUGGCGGUGUCAAUCUAGGUCUGCCAUCAGUAAUCUCAUAGAAUGGAAGUAUACCGUGGGCACAGAGUGCUGACUGACUGCACCAUUUCUUCCUCUCCAGACUGCAGUCCCGUGACUAGCUCCCUCCACAGUCACACAUUCACAUGAAGCAGCUAAAACUAUCAAUAGUCUAAUGUUAUGCCCACAGAUCUCAGUUCAUCAUAGGGACUGAUGUGUGGGUAGUCUUCAUUUCUUUUUAACUCACCCUUUCCCAGUCCCCUCCCACUCACAAGGCAGGCAAUACGCUGACCUCAUCUUUACUAGAGUCUGUUUGCCUACUAAUCUCACUGUAACCCCCCCUCCAGGUCUGUGAUUACCAGGGAUUGGAACCGGUUCAGAGAACAGAACCGAAAACCAGAAUAUAACAAAAAUGUUCUAGGAACAGGAACUGAACCGGGAACGAAAGUGACCCAUACUGUUCCGGAAAAUACCCAUUAUUUUAAAAGCAUGGAAACUGGUUAAUAACGUUUGUCUACGUUCCGGAAUUGUUUUUCUAGUCCCACAAAAAACUGCUACAAACCGCCUAUGCAAAGCCCUCACUCAGAAACGUAUUCCAGCGUCUGCCUGCAAGCUGAAAAUCUUUGCCAGAGUGUGUGUGCCCCUCCCCCUUCUGAAGCAUAGACUACUGUACUGACUUUACCAUAGACUACUGUACUGGCGUUACCAUAGACUACUGUACUGACGUUACCAUAGACUACUGUACUGACGUUACCAUAGACUACUGUACUGACUUUACCAUAGGCUACUGUACUGGCGUUACCAUAGGCUACUGUACUGACGUUACCAUAGACUACUGUACUGACGUUACCAUAGACUAGUGUACUGACGUUACCAUAGGCUACUGUACUGACUUUACCAUAGGCUACUGUACUGGCGUUACCAUAGGCUACUGUACUGACGUUACCAUAGACUACUGUACUGACGUUACCAUAGACUACUGUACUGACGUUACCAUAGGCUACUGUACUGACUUUACCAUAGGCUACUGUACUGACGUUACCAUGACUACUGUACUGACGUUACCAUAGGCUACUGUACUGACGUUACCAUAGGCUACUGUACUGACGUUACCAUAGGCUACUGUACUGACGUUACCAUAGACUACUGUACUGACGUUGCCAUAGACUACUGUACUGACGUUACCAUAGGCUACUGUACUGAAGUUACCAUAGGCUACUGUACUGACGUUACCAUAGACUACUGUACUGACGUUACCAUGACUACUGUACUGACGUUACCAUAGUCUACUGCACUGACGUUACCAUAGACUACUGUACUGACAUUACCAUAGGCUACUGUACUGACGUUACCAUAGGCUACUGUACUGAAGUUACCAUAGGCUACUGUACUGACGUUACCAUAGGCUACUGUACUGACUUUACCAUGACUACUGUACUGACGUUACCAUAGUCUACUGCACUGACGUUACCAUAGACUGCUGUACUGACGUUACCAUAGGCUACUGUACUGACUUUACCAUGACUACUGUACUGACGUUACCAUAGACUACUGUACUGACGUUACCAUAGGCUACUGUACUGACGUUACCAUAGGCUACUGUACUGACUUUACCAUGACUACUGUACUGACGUUACCAUAGACUACUGUACUGACGUUACCAUAGGCUACUGUACUGACGUUCCCAUAGACUACUGUACUGACGCUACCAUAGGCUACUGUACUGACGCUACCAUAGGCUACUGUACUGACGUUACCAUAGGCUACUGUACUGACGUUACCAUAUUCUACUGUACUGACAUUACCAUAGGCUACUGUACUGACGUUCCCAUAGACUACUGUACUGACUUUACCAUAGGCUACUGUACUGACGUUACCAUAGGCUACUGUACUGACGUUACUAUAGGCUACUGUACUGAUGUUAGAAGCGUGAGGAGAUGGGGGAGAGAUUUUUUUAUUAUCUAUAGAAGAAUGGAUUAACUUUUUCAAUGCUAGUUAAGGAUACUAUUUCACGUUGGAUUUAUUAUCUACGAAAAGGUAAGACUUGUUUUUAAUUAUGGUGCCGCUCUGCAUGCACAAGCUUGUUAGCAUGCUAGCUCAAAGGACAUUCAAGGUUCCUUCAUAGAAGCCGCUCCUCCGUAGGUAUAACUCUGUGGACCUAAUUCAGAUAAUGCAUGUCAUAACAAGAUACCUAGCACUUCAAGCCUGCUCCUCAACCCCUUCGUAAAAUUUCAGUCACAUCUUUUGCCAUAGGCUGUCCAUCACGAAUGCAAACAACUAGUUUGCCUGCUCUAUCCGCACUGAUUGGUGAAGUAAUGAGCUACAUGUAAAAAACUGUUGAUUUCACAGGUUAAAAAAGGAACAGAGAGGAACGAUAUAAACCGGUACUGUUUUUUGUUUCAAACCAGUUAAAAACUUUAUUUUGCUGGUCGGAACAGUGGAACGGAACGAAAAGUAUGGUGGUUCUGUUCAGAGCAAACAAUUGGAAAAUAAUUUUGGUUCCAACCCCUGCUGAUCACUACUUUGUUUCCUUUUCUGUCUCCCAUUCCUCCAACCCUAACCGCUCAACCCUUAUCCAGAUGGUCAUGCGCCGUCACAAUCUUAUCUCGCUCUCUUUCCCACUACUCUCUCCUCUUCUAUCCUAUCAUCUAUGCCUUCUGAUAAACCCUACUCUCUUCCCUUUCCGCAUCAUAUGACUCGCACUGUCUCCUUUCCCUACCGGACGGCUCGGUCCUCCGCUCCUGCUCUCUGGCUGAGUGACUCAUUGCGAGCUGACAGAACAGUGCUGCAGGCAGCUGAGCAAAAAUGUAGAAAAACUCAUCUUCAGGAGGACCUAUCAUCCUUUCACUCCCUCCUCUCUACCUUCUCGCCCUCUGUGUCCACUGCUAAAGCCACUUUCUAUCACUCUAAAUUUCAAGCUUCUGCCUCUAACCCUAGGAAAAUCUUUUCCACCUUCUCCUCUCUCCUUAAU